CGAGAAACGGAGGCCUCUUGUGGGGUUCUUUCCCGACCGGGCAGCAAAGUAGCUCCGCUCACGCAGGUAGCUCGAUAGAAGUCUCCUUGAUCUCACAACCCCGUACAGAAGAAACUAACCACGAGCGCACGAUGGGCUUCAGACCUAUCAGCUUGAUGGUAGGGUAUUGGCCUACCAUGGCUAUGACGGGUACAGAGGAUUAGGGUUUGAUCCUGGAGAGGUAGCCUGAGAGAUCGCUCCCACUUCUAAGGAAGGCAGCAGGCGCGUAACGUUCCCA
rnacentral:rRNA from 1 species